AAGGUUUCACAGUCCUGCCCAAGAUGGCCGUCUCGGCUCUGGCACCGCCCCCACUCCUGCCUCUCCCAACAUGGCGACCCUGAGUCUCCGUUCCCGGUGCGGAACGUACGACCGGAAGUGACGGGGCCCAGAAAUUUCCGCUUUCUUUCUGCAGCAGGAACCGCGGCUGCUGGACAAGAGGGGUGCGGUGGAUACUGACCUUUGCUCCAGCCUCGUCGUGAAGACACAGCGCAUCUCCCCGCUGUAGGUUUCCUCCCACAGAACCCGUUUCGGGCCUCAGAGCGUCUGGUGAGAUGCUGCUGCCGCUGCUUCUGCUGCUACCCAUGUGCUGGGCCGUGGAGGUCAAGAGGCCCCGGGGCGUCUCCCUCACCAAUCAUCACUUCUACGAUGAGUCCAAGCCUUUCACCUGCCUAGACGGUUCGGCCACCAUCCCAUUUGAUCAGGUCAACGAUGACUAUUGCGACUGCAAAGAUGGCUCUGACGAGCCAGGCACGGCUGCCUGUCCUAACGGCAGCUUCCACUGCACCAACACUGGCUAUAAGCCCCUGUAUAUCCCCUCCAACCGGGUCAACGAUGGUGUUUGUGACUGCUGCGAUGGAACAGACGAGUACAACAGCGGCGUCAUCUGUGAGAACACCUGCAAAGAGAAGGGCCGUAAGGAGAGAGAGUCCCUGCAGCAGAUGGCCGAGGUCACCCGCGAAGGGUUCCGUCUGAAGAAGAUCCUUAUUGAAGACUGGAAGAAGGCACGGGAGGAGAAGCAGAAAAAGCUCAUUGAGCUACAGGCUGGGAAGAAGUCUCUGGAAGACCAGGUGGAGAUGCUGCGGACAGUGAAGGAGGAAGCUGAGAAGCCAGAGAGAGAGGCCAAAGAGCAGCACCAGAAGCUGUGGGAAGAGCAGCUGGCUGCCGCCAAGGCCCAACAGGAGCAGGAGCUGGCGGCUGAUGCCUUCAAGGAGCUGGAUGAUGACAUGGACGGGACGGUCUCGGUGACUGAGCUGCAGACUCACCCGGAGCUGGACACAGAUGGGGAUGGGGCGUUGUCAGAAGCAGAAGCUCAGGCCCUCCUCAGUGGGGACACACAGACAGACGCCACCUCUUUCUACGACCGCGUCUGGGCCGCCAUCAGGGACAAGUACCGGUCCGAGGCACUGCCCACCGACCUUCCAGCACCUUCUGCCCCUGACUUGACGGAGCCCAAGGAGGAGCAGCCGCCAGUGCCCUCGUCGCCCACAGAGGAGGAGGAGGAGGAGGAGGAGGAAGAAGAGGAGGCUGAAGAAGAGGAGGAGGAGGAGGAUUCCGAGGUGCAGGGGGAGCAGCCCAAGGAGGCCCCACCGCCACUGUCACCCCCGCAGCCGGCCAGCCCUGCUGAGGAAGACAAAAUGCCGCCCUACGACGAGCAGACACAGGCCUUCAUCGAUGCUGCCCAGGAGGCCCGCAACAAGUUCGAGGAGGCUGAGCGGUCGCUGAAGGACAUGGAGGAGUCCAUCAGGAACCUGGAGCAAGAGAUUUCUUUUGACUUUGGCCCCAACGGGGAGUUUGCUUACCUGUACAGCCAGUGCUACGAGCUCACCACCAACGAAUACGUCUACCGCCUCUGCCCCUUCAAGCUUGUCUCGCAGAAACCCAAACUCGGGGGCUCUCCCACCAGCCUCGGCACCUGGGGUUCAUGGGUUGGCCCCGACCACGACAAGUUCAGUGCCAUGAAGUAUGAGCAAGGCACGGGCUGCUGGCAGGGCCCCAACCGCUCCACCACCGUGCGCCUCCUGUGCGGGAAAGAGACCAUGGUGACCAGCACCACAGAGCCCAGUCGCUGCGAGUACCUCAUGGAGCUGAUGACGCCAGCCGCCUGCCCGGAGCCACCGCCUGAAGCACCCACCGAAGACGACCAUGACGAGCUCUAGCUGGAUGGGCGCAGAGGUGGGCGGGGAGGUGGAGUCUCGUCGGCCUGCCCCAGCAAGGGGAGGCGGCGGGCCCUGAGGAAGAUGGACCCACAUGGCCACUCUAUCAACCUGUGUCCCCAUGUUCCCUGCUUUUUUGUUUUGUUUUUUUGAGGUGGAGUCUCACUCUUUGGCCCAGGCUGGAGUGCAGUGAUGCGACCUCAGCUGACUGCAACCUCUACCUCCCGGGUUCAAACAAUUCUCUUGUCUCAGCCUCCCAAGUAGCUGGGAUUACAGGUGUGCACCACCACGCCUGGCUAAUUUUUAGUAGAGAUGGGGUUUCACCAUGUUGGCCUGGAUGGUCUCGAACUCCUGACCUCAGAUGAUCCACCUGCCUUGGCCUCCCAAAGUGCUGGGAUUACAGGCAUGAGCCACCACACCCGGCCAUCUCCUGCCUUUUUUUUUUUUUGGAUGGAGUUUCACUCUUGUUGCCGAGAUCAUGCUACUGCACUCUCCAGCCUGGGCUACAGAGUGAGACUCUCAAAAAAAAAAAAAGAGAAAAUAGACAAGGUCUCCAGGCUGGUCAACUCCUGGCCUCAAAUGAUCCUCCCACCUCAGCCUCCCAAGCAGCUGGGACUACAGGCAAACAUCACCAUGUCCAGCUGUCCCCAGCUUUCUAAUCUGGUCUUUCUCUUGCCCCAGAACCUCAAGAAGGCAUGAAGCCAGCCCCUGCAGUGCCGUCCACCCGCCCCUCUGUCUGGGCCUGCCUGUGGCUCUGUUGCCCUCCUCUGUGGCGGCAGGACCUUUGUGGGGCUUCGUGCCCUGCUCUGGGGCCCAGGCGGGGCUGGUCCACAUUCCCAGGCCCCAACAGCCUCCAAAGAUGGGUAAAGGAGCUUGCCCUCCCUGGGCCCCCCACCUUGGUGACUCGCCCCACCACCCCCAGCCCUGUCCCUGCCACCCCUCCUAGUGGGGACUAGUGAAUAACUUGACCUGUGACCUCAGUACAAUAAAUGUGAUCCCCCACCCAAA